rnacentral:rRNA from 1 species
GAGUUUGAUCCUGGCUCAGAACGAACGCUGGCGGCAGGCUUACACAUGCAAGUCGAACGAAUGUAGCAAUACAUUAGUGGCGCACGGGUGAGUAACGCGUGGAUAUCUGCCUUUUGGUUCGGGAUAACCUUGGGAAACUAGGGCUAAUACCGAAUGGUUCCUACGGGAUAAAGAUUUAUCGCCAAAAGAUGAGUCCGCGUCCGAUUAGCUAGUUGGUGAGGUAAUGGCUCACCAAGGCGACGAUCGGUAGCUGGUCUGAGAGGACGAUCAGCCACACUGGGACUGAGACACGGCCCAGACUCCUACGGGAGGCAGCAGUGGGGAAUAUUGGACAAUGGGGGCAACCCUGAUCCAGCCAUGCCGCGUGAGUGAUGAAGGCCUUCGGGUUGUAAAGCUCUUUUGGCGGGGACGAUGAUGACGGUACCCGCAGAAUAAGCCCCGGCUAACUUCGUGCCAGCAGCCGCGGUAAG